CUUUUAAAAGUGUGCCCCCCUAAAAAAAUGGAAUGCCCCCCCUGUGAUUUGUUUCUGCAGUCGGGUCUGAGCUUGAGGAAGGUCAAAUUUCCUCCCAGAGAUACAAUUCUCCAUGCUUACUGCCACUUUGAGGCAUUGACAAGCCAUGCAUAUUCCUAUUCUUGCGUGUGCUGUGGCUACUAUCCUCCAGUAGUUGUGAUGGACCUCCACAAGAAAGGAGUGUUUAACUUGCCCGGUUAGUCAGAAUGGAUGAGUGUUUUGAUCUUUUUUCUUGGUUUGAUGUUUGUUUCAUUGUUAACAUUUUUUUAAUCUUUCAGUGAGUGACAUGAAACAGCCCUCUGAGAAUUUCACUGGCAAAGUGAAUAUAGAAGAUUUCUGGGAUUCUGUUCAGUUGGAAAUGAUUUCACGUGGCUUCUUUCAAAGUCGUGCAAAGAACAUCUUUGCUGUGAAUCCUAGUUUUGAGCACUGGGCCCCAUGGAUUGGAAAGAAUACAAGAAAAUCAGAAAUGGUGUUGAACACAGAGUUUGAAAAAGUUUCCUCCACUUUUCAGAAGUCCUCCACUGAAGCUGAAGUCAGCAUGGUGUCAGAGGACCGUCUAGUGGACGAGCUCAUGAAGCAGAAGGUUUCAACUGUGCGCAAGCUAUGCAAGGCCUGCAAUUUGGAUUCAAAGGGAUCACGGACAGAUCUUGUUAUAAGACUAAGGGAUGAGAUGAAGUCAAGGCACACGUAUGACAAGAUAUUCCAGAAAAUCUGGGGAGCAUCCGGUGGGUGGUCAGUGGUUUUGUGCCCUCAUGGUGUGGUCUACAGUUUAAAGUUCAACCUGAGGGCAGAGUCUCCAAGGAAUUUUGCUGAUCUUCUCAUGUCCUGGAAACACCUGCCAAAUGUCUGUGUUUAUGACUUUGCUCGGGGUUUGGCAACUCAUGUCAACCUCCGUUUUCCAACUUCCAUACCUUUCAAGCCACAUGAAGGGAGGCUGGCUGCGUCAACCCAAGACAACAUCACCGCAGCUCAGCAAAAAAAACUUCAGAUCUCCCUACCGUGGCUGACUGAAAUGAUGGAAAAUCCAGAUGAAGAGGGACAUCCAUUCACUGGUUCCUCCAACCACUAUGUGUUAUAUGAUAAAUUCCAUGAGGCCAACACCAAAGAUCCACAGGAAGUGUUGAGGAGAAUCAACCUGGUCCCAGAACUGCAAAGUUCGUUGAAUAGCCAGGUAGCCGAGCAACUUUUUUCAAGAAUGCGGAAGAACAACUACUUCCUCAAUAACAUGGCACCAUCCACCCACAUAUUUUUGAUGAGAAGCCUAGUAAAUCAAAGAAACAUUAACACAAACACAAAGCUUUUGGAACAGCAACUACACAGUGGGCAUAAGUCACAUCGCUUGCAGGAUAUCACCAUGAAUGCCUUUGGACAUGCAGUAUUUGGAACCGCAGUAUCCGAAAAGGCCACACAAUCUAUACUGGUUGAAACUCCUUCGCAACAAGGGCUUUAUACCGACACAAAGAAAGACAAUGACCAAUGUGGAAAACAUUGUGAAUCCCUCACAAAAUGUGAGAACGUUGGACCAUACAGAGCAUCAUGGACAAGUGAUCAAAGUCAUCCCACCCAGGAGAAGCUGCUCAACUACGUGUUGGACAUUGAGAAGCCAGCGACAGAGUUGAUUGUGAAAACAAAAAAGAGUGUCCUGACACGUGCUGACUUUUGGAGCCUUGGUUUGAACAAUGAAAUGGACGCAACAAUUGGAAAUGCGUGCUUUGAGCUGAUCGAACAAAUUGCUCAAUCAAAGGGGAAGAGCAUUUUUAUAGCUGAUCUCUAUGUGGUUCCAACAUGGCGACUCCCAACUGCAUCCAACCCACUUCUGAGUUUACCUAAUGAUGCACACUUCAGAGAUGCCAUUGUUAUACCUGUGUGGAAACCUGGACAUUUCCUGUUGUCUAAAACUUUCUCAGUCAAUAAAUCCUGGUCCAUGGAAAGAGACUACUGGGUUGGAAAUUGAGGGUUUUCCAAGACAACCUUACGGGAUGGACUGUGGCAUCUUCAUGGUGAUGUAUGCCCUUUAUACAGUACUAGAUGCCUCCUUUGAUUUCACUAUUAUGGACAUGCCAGCUUUGCGAAGAUGGUGGUGUGUUAUGCUGAUGGAGAAUUUUGACCUUGGAUGCCAUCAUAAAAUGUUUGCACACUGGACGGAGAUGUCAAGAGCCCUCCUGCGUGGUGAGGUGCAACCAGUGUUCAGACUGAAGAAGCGAAAGUUUGAGGACAAAGAUGUCUCCGUUGAAAACACUUCGAAGACAACAGUUGAAGUGGAUAGAGUGAAGGCCAGGAUUGUAAACGACUGUAAAGAGGCCGCAGAAUGGGUUAACGCAAACCUGCACUUGUUCUCUGAUGCCGUGGAAUUGCCUGACAUACUGAAGAUGGGGGAAGUGGAACUGGCAGAGGCUGUACAGCAGUAUGAAAAGCUUUGGGGUGAGGAGGAAGUGGAUGAAGAUGAAAAGGAGUUAACCUUGGAGAAUUUCAAGUUUGUUUUCAGGAACCCUGAAGACAUGAAUGUGUUUUGUGAGGAAAUUGCAGACAGUCGAGGGUAUUUGGCAUACUGUGAAUGCCGAAAAUAACUUGUUUUCAUUGCAUUUAAUACCUGUUCAUUAUUCACCAUUGCACAAAGUGACCAAUUCACUUGUAAAUCAUAUUUCAAAUGUAAAGUUGCUGUUUUAUUUUUUUUCAACCAGGUUAUUUGGAACCCUAGCUUAUUGCCUUGUUUACUUUAACAACUGUAUAUUUUAUGCUGUUUAAUUGUUUAGCAGAAAGACUGAAGAAGGCAUGUUUUUCACCUUGUUCCUGAGUUUCUUUGAUUAAAUAACCAGUUAAUAACCAGUUAAGUCUUGCAUUUGGGUCAUCCU